AAAAUCCGUUGGCUUUAGUGACCGUGAGGGUUCAAGUCCCUCUAUCCCCA
rnacentral:tRNA from 1 species